ACGUAGGUCACAAGCGUUGUCCGGAAUUACUGGGUGUAAAGGGAGCGCAGGCGGGAAGACAAGUUGGAAGUGAAAUCUAUGGGCUCAACCCAUAAAAUGCUUUCAAAACUGUUUUUCUUGAGUAGUGCAGAGGUAGGCGGAAUUCCCGGUGUAGCGGUGGAAUGCGUAGAUAUCGGGAGGAACACCAGUGGCGAAGGCGGCCUACUGGGCACCAACUGACGCUGAGGCUCGAAAGUGUGGGUAGCAAACAG
rnacentral:rRNA from 1 species